rnacentral:tRNA from 1 species
GCUCGCUUAGCUCAGUUGGUUAGAGCGUGGUGCUAAUAACGCCAAGGUCACAGGUUCGAUCCCUGUAGUGAGCU